UAGUAGCAAAUCUAACAGGCGCA
rnacentral:miRNA from 1 species